rnacentral:lncRNA from 1 species
GGAGGGGGCGGAGUUAGGGGAGGGACGCGCUGAUGACGCGAGGCACGCGCUGGGGGGGCUAGUACGCAGGCGCAGAAGACAUGGCGGCGGCGGUGGGGAGUAGUCGCUGCAGCGGCGCUGAAACGAUCUCCGCGGAGUCUAUGGUUGGAGGGGCUGGGCCUGAGGCGUGCACAAUGCUGCUGAGCUAGAAAGCUUGUGGCUUCCCAGUCUCUGCGCUGGUCACAUGGAAGCGCUCAUGCUAUGGAAAGUGGAAUUAGUGGGUAAGCUAAAAACCAGACUAGUUCUGGGCUGAAAUGUCUGUUCUUCUCCACACCCCAACCCUGCU